rnacentral:rRNA from 1 species
AUAAGAGGUCCCGCCUGCCCGGUGACUAUUAGUUUAACGGCCGCGGUAUUUUGACCGUGCAAAGGUAGCGCAAUCACUUGUCCUUUAAAUGAAGACCUGUAUGAAUGGCACCACGAGGGCUCAACUGUCUCCUUUUUCCUGUCAAUGAAAUUGAUCUCCCCGUGCAGAAGCGGGGAUUCCCCCAUAAGACGAGAAGACCCUAUGGAGCUUUAGGCACCAGAACAGACUAUGUUAAGCACCCUGACACAAAAGACAAAACUAACCAGACCCUGUUCCAAUGCUUUUGGUUGGGGCGACCGCGGGGAAACAAAAAACCCCCACGUGGACUAAGAGUACCCCUCACUCUUACAACCAAGGGCCACGGCCCUAAGAAACAGAACCUCUGACCCUAAAUGACCCGGUACAACCGAUCAACGAACCGAGUUACCCUAGGGAUAACAGCGCAAUCCCCUUCUAGAGUCCAUAUCGACAAGGGGGUUUACGACCUCGAUGUUGGAUCAGGACAUCCUAUUGGUGCGGCCGCUAUUAAGGGUUCGUUUGUUCAACGAUU